UCACAAGGUAAAUGUUGCGUAUUUUAAUACCAUUUCAAGCCUAAUUUUGAACCAAACCAAUUUUUUGCUUUGACCCAGACACCACGAUGAAAAGAAAAUAUUUCACAAGCAGUAAAGGCACAGAAGAAGUGGCUGUAGUGAGUCAUUUUGAGUGCAUGAUACCAACGGACCUCACACGGGUGUUGUGUGAUGUCCUGAAUCUGAGAGAAACAGAAAACGGAACACUUAUAAACAGCCAAUGACUAGAGAUGAAUGACUGUCUUGACUCCUUACUGCCCCCUAGAGGAUAGUUGAGAUGUUAUCAAGCAAAAUGUUAAAAA